rnacentral:rRNA from 1 species
UGCCUUGUUCGACUUCUCUUUCCUUUAAAUCACAUUAUGUAUAUAAGUUUUUUAUAUUUUAAUUAUAAUAAAUCCCUUAGAUUUAUAAUAUAAUUCAUCGGUAAGAGCGACGGGCGGUGUGUACAAAGGGCAGGGNNGUAUUCCUCUUGGUAUGUUAAACCAAAGAAGAGUACAAGGCAUUCCUAGUUAAGGCCAAGUGUAAUAAUUAACAAUACACUAUCCCCACCUUAAAUUAAUUAUAUUUAUAUUAAUUAAUCACGAUUUUUAAAUGAUUACCGAUUUACUUUCGAAAUAGGUUGUAAUAUAAUAUUAUAUAUUAUAAAGUAUAUAUACUUAUUAAUGUAAUUAUUGUAGCACGUGUGCAGCCCAGAACAUCUGAGGGCAUCACAGACCUGUUAUUGCCGUAAUCUUACUCUAUUUUAACACAUAUUUAGUAAUGACAGCGGUCCCUUUAAUUUUAUGCUAUAAUUAAAUAAUAAUAGCAAUAAAAGGUUACGGUCACGUUCGUUGCAUUCAUUUAUUAUAUAAUAAUAUAUAUAAUAUGUUCACUUUAAAUCCAUAAAGGCAGAACUAAAUAUUAUAAUAUAUCAUAUAUUUUAUUUACUGAAACGCAAUUAAGCAGACAAAUCACUCCACGAACUAAGAACGGCCAUGCACCACCUAUCAUAUAAUCAUGAAAGGACUAUCAUUUUUAUGCAUAUAAAAAUAUAUAUUUUUAUAUACUAUCGCCUGUCAAUCCUCAAUAUGUCUGGACCUGGUAAGAUUUCCCAGGUUGAGUCAAAUUAAGCCACAUGCUCCACGCGU